GCGGUCAUCGUACAAUGGCUAUUACCUCAGUCUUCCAAGCUGAUGAUGCGGGUUCGAUUCCCGCCGACCGUUCCA
rnacentral:tRNA from 1 species